AUUGAACGCUGGCGGAAUGCUUUACACAUGCAAGUCGAACGGCAGCACGGGAGCAAUCCUGGUGGCGAGUGGCGAACGGGUGAGUAAAGUAUCGGAACGUGCCCAGUCGUGGGGGAUAACGUAGCGAAAGUUACGCUAAUAACGCAUACGAUCUAUGGAUGAAAGCGGGGGAUCGCAAGACCUCGCGCGAUUGGAGCGGCCGAUAUCAGAUUAGGUAGUUGGUGGGGUAAAGGCCCACCAAGCCGACGAUCUGUAGCUGGUCUGAGAGGACGACCAGCCACACUGGGGCUGAGACACGGCCCAGACUCCUACGGGGGGCAGCAGUGGGGAAUUUUGGACAAUGGGCGAAAGCCUGAUCCAGCCAUGCCGCGUGCAGGAUGAAGGCCUUCGGGUUGUAAACUGCUUUUGUACGGAACGAAAAGGACUGCCCUAAUACGGUGGUCCCAUGACGGUACCGUAAGAAUAAGCACCGGCUAACUACGUGCCAGCAGCCGCCGUAA
rnacentral:rRNA from 1 species